GACGAACGCUGGCGGCGUGCUUAACACAUGCAAGUCGAACGAAGAGCGAUGGAAGCUUGCUUCUAUCAAUCUUAGUGGCGAACGGGUGAGUAACGCGUAAUCAACCUGCCCUUCAGAGGGGGACAACAGUUGGAAACGACUGCUAAUACCGCAUACGAUCUAAUCUCGGCAUCGAGGAUAGAUGAAAGGUGGCCUCUACAUGUAAGCUAUCACUGAAGGAGGGGAUUGCGUCUGAUUAGCUAGUUGGAGGGGUAACGGCCCACCAAGGCGAUGAUCAGUAGCCGGUCUGAGAGGAUGAACGGCCACAUUGGGACUGAGACACGGCCCAGACUCCUACGGGAGGCAGCAGUGGGGAAUCUUCCGCAAUGGACGAAAGUCUGACGGAGCAACGCCGCGUGAGUGAUGACGGCCUUCGGGUUGUAAAGCUCUGUUAAUCGGGACGAAAGGCCUUCUUGCGAAUAGUGAGAAGGAUUGAC
rnacentral:rRNA from 1 species